GUCGGGAGACGGGCGUUCGCUCUAUUUUAUGGAGAGGAAAGUCCGGACACCACAGAGCGGAAUUCCGAUUGAAAGGUCGGGAAGCCUAAAGGCUUACGGAAAGUGCCACAGAAAACAGACCGCCGCGCGAGCGGCAAGGGUGAAAAGGCGGGGUAAGAGCCCACCGCCGCGGGAGCAAUCUUCGCGGGCACGGUAAACCCAGUUCGGUGCAAGACAACGUAGGAGGCGGGGCUGCUCGUCCAUAACGUCUCGGGUA
rnacentral:RNase_P_RNA from 1 species